UUUACAACUCCCAAACCCCAAUGUGAACGUUACCAAUCUGUUGCCUCGGCGGGAUUCUCUUGCCCCGGGCGCGUCGCAGCCCCGGAUCCCAUGGCGCCCGCCGGAGGACCAACCCAAACUCUUUUUUUACAACCACGGUCGCAGGCUUCCGUCGCGGCUCUGUUUUAUUUUUUGCUCUGAGCCUUUCUCGGCGACCCUAGCGGGCGUCUCGAAAAUGAAUCAAAACUUUCAACAACGGAUCUCUUGGUUCUGGCAUCGAUGAAGAACGCAGCGAAAUGCGAUAAGUAAUGUGAAUUGCAGAAUUCAGUGAAUCAUCGAAUCUUUGAACGCACAUUGCGCCCGCCAGUAUUCUGGCGGGCAUGCCUGUCCGAGCGUCAUUUCAACCCUCGAACCCCUCCGGGGGGUCGGCGUUGGGNGAUCGGCCCCUCACCGGGCCGCCCCCGAAAUCCAGUGGCGGUCUCGCCGCAGCCUCUCCUGCGCAGUAGUUUGCACACUCGCACCGGGAGCGCGGCGCGGCCACAGCCGUAAAACGCACCAAACUCUGAAAUGUUGACCUCGGAUCAGGUAGGAAUACCCGCUGAACUUAAGCAUAUCAA
rnacentral:rRNA from 1 species